GACGAACGCUGGCGGCGUGCUUAACACAUGCAAGUCGAACGGUGAUGCUCCAGCUUGCUGGAGUGGAUCAGUGGCGAACGGGUGAGUAACACGUGAGCAACCUGCCCCAGACUCUGGAAUAAGCGCUGGAAACGGCGUCUAAUACUGGAUACGAAACUGGCCCGCAUGGGCAUGGUUUGGAAAGUUGUUCGGUUUGGGAUGGGCUCGCGGCCUAUCAGCUUGUUGGUGAGGUAAUGGCUCACCAAGGCGACGACGGGUAGCCGGCCUGAGAGGGCGACCGGCCACACUGGGACUGAGACACGGCGCAGACUCCUACGGGAGGCAGCAGUGGGGAAUAUUGCACAAUGGGCGAAAGCCUGAUGCAGCGACGCCGCGUGAGGGAUGACGGCCUUCGGGUUGUAAACCUCUUUCAGCAGGGAAGAAGCGAAAGUGACGGUACCUGCAGAAGAAGCACCGGCUAACUACGUG
rnacentral:rRNA from 1 species